UACAGAGGGUGCGAGCGUUUAAUCGGAAUUACUGGGCGUAAAGCGUGCGUAGACGGUUACGUAAGUCGGAUGUGAAAUCCCCGGGCUCAACCUGGGAAUUGCAUUCGAGACUGCGCAGCUGGGGUGCGGAAGAGGGAAGCGGAAUUUCCUGUGUAGCGGUGAAAUGCGUAGAUAUAGGAAGGAACACCAGUGGCGAAGGCGACCACCUGGACUGAUACUGACACUGAGGUGCGAAAGCGUGGGGAGCAAACAGG
rnacentral:rRNA from 1 species